GCGCCUCGUGAACUCAUCUCCGGGGGUAGAGCACUGUUUCGGCUAGGGGGCCAUCCCGGCUUACCAACCCGAUGCAAACUGCGAAUACCGGAGAAUGUUAUCACGGGAGACACACGGCGGGUGCUAACGUCCGUCGUGAAGAGGGAAACAACCCAGACCGCCAGCUAAGGUCCCAAAGUCAUGGUUAAGUGGGAAACGAUGUGGGAAGGCCCAGACAGCCAGGAUGUUGGCUUAGAAGCAGCCAUCAUUUAAAGAAAGCGUAAUAGCUCACUGGUCGAGUCGGCCUGCGCGGAAGAUGUAACGGGGCUAAACCAU
rnacentral:rRNA from 1 species